UACGUAGGGUGCAAGCGUUAAUCGGAAUUACUGGGCGUAAAGCGUGCGCAGGCGGUUUUGUAAGUUUGUCGUGAAAGCCCCGGGCUCAACCUGGGAAUUGCGAUGAAGACUGCAAGGCUUGAAUCUGGCAGAGGGGGGUAGAAUUCCACGUGUAGCAGUGAAAUGCGUAGAGAUGUGGAGGAACACCGAUGGCGAAGGCAGCCCCCUGGACCUGUACUGACGCUCAUGCACGAAAGCGUGGGGAGCAAACAGG
rnacentral:rRNA from 1 species